rnacentral:rRNA from 1 species
CCACGUCCCCAUAGCGCUGGCGGCUGCUUACCAUGCAUGUGAACGGUACAGGUCUUCGGAUGCUGACGAGUGGCGAACGGGUGAGUAAUACAUCGGAACGUGCCCGAGAGUGGGGGAUAACGAAGCGAAAGCUUUGCUAAUACCGCAUACGAUCUCAGGAUGAAAGCAGGGGACCGCAAGGCCUUGCGCUCACGGAGCGGCCGAUGGCAGAUUAGGUAGUUGGUGGGAUAAAAGCUUACCAAGCCGACGAUCUGUAGCUGGUCUGAGAGGACGACCAGCCACACUGGGACUGAGACACGGCCCAGACUCCUACGGGAGGCAGCAGUGGGGAAUUUUGGACAAUGGGCGCAAGCCUGAUCCAGCCAUGCCGCGUGCAGGAUGAAGGCCUUCGGGUUGUAAACUGCUUUUGUACGGAACGAAAAGACUCUGGUUAAUACCUGGGGUCCAUGACAGUACCGUAAGAAUAAGCACCGGCUAACUACGUGUCAGCAGCCGCGGUAAUACGUAGGGUGCGAGCGUUAAUCGGAAUUACUGGGCGUAAAGCGUGCGCAGGCGGUUAUGUAAGACAGAUGUGAAAUCCCCGGGCUCAAGCUGGGAACUGCAUAUGUGACUGCAUAGCUAGAGUAAGGCAGAGGGGGAUGGAAUUCAGCGUGUAACAGUGAAAUGCGUAGAUAUGCACA